AGUGAACGCUGGCGGUAGGCCUAACACAUGCAAGUCGAACGGCAGCACAGUAAGAGCUUGCUCUUACGGGUGGCGAGUGGCGGACGGGUGAGGAAUACAUCGGAAUCUACUUUUUCGUGGGGGGUAACGUAGGGAAACUUACGCUAAUACCGCAUACGACCUACGGGUGAAAGAAGGGGAUCUUCGGACCUUGCGCGAUUGAUUGAGCCGAUGUCGGAUUAGCUAGUUGGCGGGGUAAAGGCCCACCAAGGCGACGACCCGUAGCUGGUCUGAGAGAAUGAUCAGCCACACUGGAACUGAGACACGGUCCAGACUCCUACGGGAGGCAGCAGUGGGGAAUAUUGGACAAUGGGCGCAAGCCUGAUCCAGCCAUACCGCGUGGGUGAAGAAGGCCUUCGGGUUGUAAAGCCCUUUUGUUGGGAAAGAAAAGCAGCAGGUUAAUACCCCGCUGUUCUGACGGUACCCAAAGAAUAAGCACCGGCUAACUUCGUG
rnacentral:rRNA from 1 species